CAGGGCACCCCCCUCACUAAUACAUGCCAAGUCGAGCGGACAGAUGGGAGCUUGCUCCCUGAUGUUAGCGGCGGACGGGUGAGUAACACGUGGGUAACCUGCCUGUAAGACUGGGAUAACUCCGGGAAACCGGGGCUAAUACCGGAUGCUUGUUUGAACCGCAUGGUUCAAACAUAAAAGGUGGCUUCGGCUACCACUUACAGAUGGACCCGCGGCGCAUUAGCUAGUUGGUGAGGUAAUGGCUCACCAAGGCGACGAUGCGUAGCCGACCUGAGAGGGUGAUCGGCCACACUGGGACUGAGACACGGCCCAGACUCCUACGGGAGGCAGCAGUAGGGAAUCUUCCGCAAUGGACGAAAGUCUGACGGAGCAACGCCGCGUGAGUGAUGAAGGUUUUCGGAUCGUAAAGCUCUGUUGUUAGGGAAGAACAAGUACCGUUCGAAUAGGGCGGUACCUUGACGGUACCUAACCAGAAAGCCACGGCUAACUACGUGCCAGCAGCCGCGGUAAUACGUAGGUGGCAAGCGUUGUCCGGAAUUAUUGGGCGUAAAGGGCUCGCAGGCGGUUUCUUAAGUCUGAUGUGAAAGCCCCCGGCUCAACCGGGGAGGGUCAUUGGAAACUGGGGAACUUGAGUGCAGAAGAGGAGAGUGGAAUUCCACGUGUAGCGGUGAAAUGCGUAGAGAUGUGGAGGAACACCAGUGGCGAAGGCGACUCUCUGGUCUGUAACUGACGCUGAGGAGCGAAAGCGUGGGGAGCGAACAGGAUUAGAUACCCUGGUAGUCCACGCCGUAAACGAUGAGUGCUAAGUGUUAGGGGGUUUCCGCCCCUUAGUGCUGCAGCUAACGCAUUAAGCACUCCGCCUGGGGAGUACGGUCGCAAGACUGAAACUCAAAGGAAUUGACGGGGGCCCGCACAAGCGGUGGAGCAUGUGGUUUAAUUCGAAGCAACGCGAAGAACCUUACCAGGUCUUGACAUCCUCUGACAAUCCUAGAGAUAGGACGUCCCCUUCGGGGGCAGAGUGACAGGUGGUGCAUGGUUGUCGUCAGCUCGUGUCGUGAGAUGUUGGGUUAAGUCCCGCAACGAGCGCAACCCUUGAUCUUAGUUGCCAGCAUUCAGUUGGGCACUCUAAGGUGACUGCCGGUGACAAACCGGAGGAAGGUGGGGAUGACGUCAAAUCAUCAUGCCCCUUAUGACCUGGGCUACACACGUGCUACAAUGGACAGAACAAAGGGCAGCGAAACCGCGAGGUUAAGCCAAUCCCACAAAUCUGUUCUCAGUUCGGAUCGCAGUCUGCAACUCGACUGCGUGAAGCUGGAAUCGCUAGUAAUCGCGGAUCAGCAUGCCGCGGGUGAAUACGUUCCCGGGCCUUGUACACACCGCCCGUCACACCACGAGAGUUUGUAACACCCGAAGUCGGUGAGGUAACCUUUUAGGAGCCAGCCGCCGANGUGGGACAGAUGAU
rnacentral:rRNA from 1 species